rnacentral:tRNA from 1 species
GCCUGAGUGGCUCAGUUGGAUAAGCAUCUGACUUCGGCUCAGGCCAUGAUCUCACAAUUCGUGGGUUUGAGCCCCACGUCGGGCU